AUGAAAACUUUCUCCAUGCUCUCUAACAUCAGUCGUACAUUCAUGAAGAAUCCAACGGUAGUUUUCAAAUUUUAAUUAUCUAAUCACUGUAGUUUUGAUUGGAUGACUUCAUUCCUGAAAAUAUUGAUGAGUCCGUAUCAGUGUGUCUUCUGCCACAACUUUCUAUUUCAAGCUCUGUUCUCUCUCACUACCUUACUGUGUGCGCAAUUAUAUGUUCCCUAGAAUCGAGUAACUAUUUUGGUUCCUUCUACGGCCUUUACUAACAAUGUGCACACACAUGUACAACGAACUUAGAUAAAAGACAUGCUCUGCAUGCUUCCCAUAUAAACAAAAACACUGUUCAUGCACGCCUUUGCAGGGAGACCAGUAUAUGGACGAAAUGAAAAUGAACUCCCUAGUCUGCUUGAGAUUUUGAGAGAACUGAAAGUAUUGGUGAUUCCACAUGAGAUUUACAGAGUUCAACUUUGAAGAGAACAAUAGAAAUACAGGAGAACAUCAAUCUCUUUUGCCAAACUCGUGAUAACAUCCUCAAAA